UGGGGAAUUUUGGACAAUGGGGGCAACCCUGAUCCAGCCAUUCCGCGUGAGUGAAGAAGGCCUUCGGGUUGUAAAGCUCUUUCAGCAGGAACGAAACGGUCGGCUUUAAUAAAGUCGGCUAAUGACGGUACCUGCAGAAGAAGCACCGGCUAACUACGUGCCAGCAGCCGCGGUAAUACGUAGGGUGCGAGCGUUAAUCGGAAUUACUGGGCGUAAAGCGUGCGCAGGCGGCGACAUAAGACAGAUGUGAAAUCCCCGGGCUCAACCUGGGAACUGCGUUUGUGACUGUGUUGCUAGAGUGUAGCAGAGGGGGGUGGAAUUCCACGUGUAGCAGUGAAAUGCGUAGAGAUGUGGAGGAACACCGAUGGCGAAGGCAGCCCCCUGGGUUAACACUGACGCUCAUGCACGAAAGCGUGGGGAGCAAACAGGAUUAGAUACCCAGGUAGUCCCUGAGCGGGCUGGCAAGGCGCAU
rnacentral:rRNA from 1 species